rnacentral:rRNA from 1 species
UACGUAGGGGGCAAGCGUUGUCCGGAUUUAUUGGGCGUAAAGAGCGUGUAGGCGGCCAUGUAGGUCCGUUGUGAAAACUCGAGGCUCAACCUCGAGACGCCGAUGGAAACCAUGGUGGCUAGAGUCCGGAAGAGGAGAGUGGGAAUUCCGGGUGUAGCGGUGGGAAUGCGUAGGAGAAUCCGGAAGAACGACCGGGUGGCGAAGGCGGGUUCUACUGGG